UAGUCCCGUACACCAAAAUGCACAGGUUGUGAACUCGAAGAGUAGGGCGGGACACGUGGUAUCCUGUCUGAAUAUGGGGGGACCAUCCUCCAAGGCUAAAUACUCCUGACUGACCGAUAGUGAACCAGUACCGUGAGGGAAAGGCGAAAAGAACCCCGGCGAGGGGAGUGAAAAAGAACCUGAAACCGUGUACGUACAAGCAGUGGGAGCACCUUCGGGUGUGACUGCGUACCUUUUGUAUAAUGGGUCAGCGACUUAUAUUCUGUAGCAAGGUUAACCGUAUAGGGGAGCCGCAGGGAAACCGAGUCUUAACUGGGCGUUAAGUUGCAGGGUAUAGACCCGAAACCCGGUGAUCUAGCCAUGGGCAGGUUGAAGGUUGGGUAACACUAACUGGAGGACCGAACCGACUAAUGUUGAAAAAUUAGCGGAUGACUUGUGGCUGGGGGUGAAAGGCCAAUCAAACCGGGAGAUAGCUGGUUCUCCCCGAAAGCUAUUUAGGUAGCGCCUCGUGAACUCAUCUUCGGGGGUAGAGCACUGUUUCGGCUAGGGGGUCAUCCCGACUUACCAACCCGAUGCAAACUACGAAUACCGAAGAAUGUUAUCACGGGAGACACACGGCGGGUGCUAACGUCCGUCGUGAAGAGGGAAACAACCCAGACCGCCAGCUAAGGUCCCAAAGUCAUGGUUAAGUGGGAAACGAUGUGGGAAGGCACAGACAGCCAGGAUGUUGGCUUAGAAGCAGCCAUCAUUUAAAGAAAGCGUAAUAGCUCACUGGUCGAGUCGGCCUGCGCGGAAGAUGUAACGGGGCUAAACCAUG
rnacentral:rRNA from 1 species